CAGUAGCCGCGGGAAUACGUAGGGUGCAAGCGUUAAUCGGAAUUACUGGGCGUAAAGCGCGCGUAGGUGGUUUGUUAAGUUGGAUGUGAAAUCCCCGGGCUCAACCUGGGAACUGCAUCCAAAACUGGCAAGCUAGAGUAUGGUAGAGGGUGGUGGAAUUUCCUGUGUAGCGGUGAAAUGCGUAGAUAUAGGAAGGAACACCAGUGGCGAAGGCGACCACCUGGACUGAUACUGACACUGAGGUGCGAAAGCGUGGGGAGCAAACAGGAUUAGAUACCCCAGUAGUCCCUGUCUCUUAUAA
rnacentral:rRNA from 1 species